rnacentral:rRNA from 1 species
AGUGAACGCUGGCGGUAGGCCUAACACAUGCAAGUCGAACGGCAGCACAGUAAGAGCUUGCUCUUACGGGUGGCGAGUGGCGGACGGGUGAGGAAUACAUCGGAAUCUACUUUUUCGUGGGGGAUAACGUAGGGAAACUUACGCUAAUACCGCAUACGACCUACGGGUAAAAGCAGGGGAUCUUCGGACCUUGCGCGAUUGAAUGAGCCGAUGUCGGAUUAGCUAGUUGGCGGGGUAAAGGCCCACCAAGGCGACGAUCCGUAGCUGGUCUGAGAGGAUGAUCAGCCACACUGGAACUGAGACACGGUCCAGACUCCUACGGGAGGCAGCAGUGGGGAAUAUUGGACAAUGGGCGCAAGCCUGGUCCAGCCAUACCGCGUGGGUGAAGAAGGCCUUCGGGUUGUAAAGCCCUUUUGUUGGGAAAGAAAAGCAGCAGGUUAAUACCCCGCUGUUCUGACGGUACCCAAAGAAUAAGCACCGGCUAACUUCGUG